CCCAGGUCUCUCUGCAGCUAAAACUCCUUAGAGUCCAGCGCUUGUUUAAAAGAACCGCUCGAAGAAUCAUUCUUAACCGCGGCACCUGUCUCCGCUCUGCGCCGUCCUAUCAGGUGAAGAAACUGAGGUUCAGGAAAGUUAAGUAACUUGAUAUACAAGGUGACACAGCUUCCAACUUAGAUGCUCUCAACUCCAAAGCCUAUGCAGCCAUCGACGGCAGACCUCAGGUUAAGCCCAGCAGAGAGCGUCCUCAGAACCACCAGAUGAUGAGGAAAUGGGCCAAGAAAGAUUUUGGAGGCCUUAAGCUGAAGGAGAGAAAACUGGAGAGAGCCUGAACCCCUGGGGGGAAAGCCCAGGUAAGGAGGUCACUGGGCUGCAGGGCU